AACUUUCAACAACGGAUCUCUUGGUUCUCGCAACGAUGAANAACGCNGCGAAAUGCGAUACGUAAUGGGAAUUGCAGGGUUUCGUGAAUCNUCCAAUCUUUGAACGCAUAUUGNGCUCUCUGGCAUUCCAGAAAGCAUGCCUGGUUGAGCGUCAUU
rnacentral:rRNA from 1 species